UUUUAUUUUUCUUGUUUCUAAGUUGACUCUUUUUUUCCCUCUUAGAUGAUGGUUUCGAUUUAUCUGAUGCCCUUCCUGAGAAAGAAGACAAGAAACCCACUGCAACCCCCAAGAAGCCCAGUGCUG